ACCAUUCUGAAUCCAUGUUGAGAUUUUGUCAAACACCAGAUCAUCAGGGAUGAUGAGACUCCCAAAAUAGAUGACGUC
rnacentral:pre_miRNA from 1 species